rnacentral:rRNA from 1 species
CCUACGGGAGGCAGCAGUGGGGAAUAUUGCACAAUGGGGGAAACCCUGAUGCAGCAACGCCGCGUGAGUGAAGAAGGUUUUCGGAUUGUAAAGCUCUGUUAGCAGGGAAGAGGAAGGACGGUACCUGCAGAGGAAGCCACGGCUAACUACGUGCCAGCAGCCGCGGUAAUACGUAGGUGGCAAGCGUUGUUCGGAAUAACUGGGCGUAAAGGAUGCGUAGGCGGUUAAACAAGUUAUAUGUUAAAUAUAUAGGCUUAACCUGUAGAAAGCAUAUAAAACUGUUUAACUAGAGUGCAGGAGAGGUAAGUGGAAUUCCUAGUGUAGCGGUGAAAUGCGUAGAGAUUAGGAAGAACACCAGUGGCGAAGGCGACUUACUGGACUGUAACUGACGCUGAGGCAUGAGAGCAUGGGGAGCAAACAGGAUUAGAUACC